GACGAACGCUGGCGGCGUGCCUAAUACAUGCAAGUCGAACGCAGUGGGGACGGGUGAGUAACACGUGGGUAACCUCCAAUCAGAGGGGAUAACACUUGGAAAAAGGUGAUACACAGAUACUGAUGGAUGAAGACGCGGUGCAUUAGCUAGUUGGUGAGGUAACGGCUCACCAAGGCCACGAUGCAUAGCCGGCCUGAGAGGGUGACCGGCCACACUGGGACGGAGACACGGCCCAGACUCCUACGGGAGGCAGCAGUAGGGAAUCUUCGGCAAUGGACGAAAGUCUGACCGAGCAACGCCGCGUGAUUGAAGAAGGUUUUCGGGUCGUAAAACUCUGUUGUUAGAGAAGCGGUAUCUAACCAGAAAGCCACGGCUAACUACGUGCCAGCAGCCGCGGUAAUAC
rnacentral:rRNA from 1 species